GCCUCCCAGCAAAUUACACACAGGUGCCACAAACGAGGGGUGUGGUGACUCUGGCCAGUGAUGGAUUUACUGGCACGCAGGAAAACCCAGCACUCACUCGGACCAUGACAAUUUUAACCUGCAGUUCAUAAAUAAAAGAAUAAACAGAAGUAACAGAAAGACAUCAGCUUUAAAUGUUUCCUCACAUGUGGAGCUCUGUAAGCUGUAAAUUUUUAAUUUUGCACUCUUGUUUAAGUUUGUCAACAAUGAUCUUUUUUAAGCUUUCAAUUUCAAAGAAAUACUCUAAUUUAAUUUCAUUAAUAAUUUAAUUGUCAUUUCACAUCAUGCAAUUUGAACUUUACCCUAUGAGGAUGUAAAGUUAAAAGCAGUUUCAGCAGAUGUGUCUGCAGGUUUAUGAAUUUAUAGAUCAUAUCCUGAAGUCGUUGCCAUGUGAGAGUCAGUGUAUACCUAAUUUUUCGUCUGCAGCCCCCUCACAGAAGUUUAAAAAGUUGGAAUUCUGUGAAUAUGUUCAUUAAGCUUUCCAGUUAUAAUGAAAUAACCUUUGCAGCGCUGAGGAGCUGAAGCUUCUGACACACACUGAAACAUUUCUGUUAGCAGCAGUCUGUUCCUCACUGUGAUCCCGACCUCUGCCAAGUCACAAAGGAAAUAAAUGAUGAAGUGAAGUGAAGUCAUAGUUUGGACUAACGUGCUGAGCGUUUGAUGAGCAACACAAACAUGUGAAAUUUAAUCUACAACUCUUAAAAACAAUAAGAUGUGUUCAGCUCAGACCUGCCUAACAGGAUGUAACACGCUCACACAGGAAGCUGCUUGCUAGCUAACAAACAGACGGACAUGCUACUAACAGCAGGCCUGGAGUCAGUGCCUGCUGUCAACGUGGGCGAUGCGGUCAGAUUAGGUGCUGCUGCAGAAACAGGAGAAACGUGCAAUAAGCAAAAAACUGAUGGAGCACAAAGUGUAGCUGGUACGUGACAGGUGUGCCACAGCUGUAUCGUUUUGGCUCAUCUUCAAGGAGCAGUCACAUUGUGAGUGUUGGAAAGUAUUUUUGAUUCAGAUGCUCAAGACAUUCAUCUGGAUUCAUUUCCAGAUGUUCAGCGUUAUGCACAGAACUCGAAGGACGGUGAAAAAAUCCUCUUGACAUGCAUCGCCAGAGGCCAGGGAGCCAUCGACGUGGAGAUCAAGCGUAACGGGGAGACUGUAACUGAAGAGAAGGGUCUGAUGAGAUCAGACACUGAGACAAACAAAGACGGCACCUUGGAGAUAAGAGCCCAUGUGGAGAUUUCAAAGGAUGACAAGUCUAAGUACAGCUAUGAAGUCAUUUAUAAGAACCAGAACAUUAAGCAUGACUUCGACUGUGCAUUGACCUGGAGAGGACCAUCAGAAGUCCAGCGGAGGUGGACAGAGAUCCAUAAUCUGGAGGACUACACCACCGACCCAGUUGUUUCUGACACCUGAGUCGCUGACAGCUGUAUCCCGGACCGAGACGCUGAGUCCUGUGGAGCCCUGAAGUCUCCAUCAGAUCUACACACAACACCAGAUUUACCAAAACAUAUUUACCAGUGUGCAGAGCAUUAAGACUAAGGGUUUUUUUAAGUAGCACAUUUUCCUUUUAAUGCAUUGUACAGAUUAGGAAACUGAUGAGUCAGCAUUAAAAUGAGGUUCUUUGAAAUGAGUUUUUAAAAACGUGCCUGUUUAAGCUGAACCUCAGUCACAGUGAACGUCACAUGAGGUCAGAGGUGAAUUCAGGAUUUUAUGUAUUUUAAUAAAACUAUCUCAGUUUGUUCAUAAGUCUUGUUUCAUUAUUAUUGUGUUUCCUGGUGUAAUUUCAAGUGAGCCCUGCAGACUGGCCACAUGAGCAGCGUAUCCAGAAAAGGAUGGAUGGAGAAUUUCAUGCAGUCCUUGUUGGAGCGAUUUGUUCUUUAUUUUUAAAUAAGUUUGUUGUUGGUUUACU